rnacentral:misc_RNA from 1 species
GUGUUUGAUGAGUCGUCGUGGACUGACAUCGAUUACUGCAAGUCUCGUCAGAAGUGGUAUCCAGUGUCAAAGACACUGGCAGAGAAAGAAGCGUGGGACUUUGCAAAGAAGCAUGGAAUGGAUCUGGUGACAACAUCCUGCUACAUGUCUAGGCCCACUGUUGCAGCCUAGUUUGAAUGCUAGCUGUGCUGUGUUGAAGCAAUUGUUGGAGGGAUCAGAAGACACUCAGGAAUAUCACUGGUUGGGAGCUGUGCAUGUCAAAGAUGUGGCUGAGUCACAAAUUUUGCUGUUUGAGACUCCUACUGCUUCUGGUAGAUAUCUCUGCACAAAUGGUAUUUAUCAAUUUGGUGAUUUUGCAGAGAGGGUUUCCAAGCUCUUCCCUGAGUUUCCUGUUCACAGGUUUGUUGGGGAAACUCAACCGGGCCUGACAACUUGCAAAGAUGCUGCCAAGAGAUUAAUUGAGAUGGGGCUAGUUUUCACUCCAGUUGAAGAUGCCAUCCAGGACACGGUGGAAAGUCUAAAGGCUAAAGGAUUCCUAAAGCACAAAAUGUCAACAUCAUAGUUUAUUUUGGGGCUGAAAUUUUUUUCACU